rnacentral:rRNA from 1 species
AGUGAACGCUGGCGGUAGGCCUAACACAUGCAAGUCGAACGGCAGCACAGUAAGAGCUUGCUCUUACGGGUGGCGAGUGGCGGACGGGUGAGGAAUACAUCGGAAUCUACUUUUUCGUGGGGGAUAACGUAGGGAAACUUACGCUAAUACCGCAUACGACCUACGGGUGAAAGCAGGGGAUCUUCGGACCUUGCACGAUUGAAUGAGCCGAUGUCGGAUUAGCUAGUUGGCGGGGUAAAGGCCCACCAAGGCGACGAUCCGUAGCUGGUCUGAGAGGAUGAUCAGCCACACUGGAACUGAGACACGGUCCAGACUCCUACGGGAGGCAGCAGUGGGGAAUAUUGGACAAUGGGCGCAAGCCUGAUCCAGCCAUACCGCGUGGGUGAAGAAGGCCUUCGGGUUGUAAAGCCCUUUUGUUGGGAAAGAAAAGCAGCAGGUUAAUACCCCGCUGUUCUGACGGUACCCAAAGAAUAAGCACCGGCUAACUUCGU